AGGCCGACAGGGGCAGAUCAUGAGGUCAGGAGAUCGAGACCAUUCUUGCUAACACGGUGAAACCCCGUCUCUACUAAAAAUACAAAAAAUUAGCCGGGCAUGGUGGCAUGUGCCUGUAGUCCCAGCUACAGCUACUCAGGAGGCUGAGGCAGGAGAAUCACUUGAACCCAGGAGGCAGAGCUUGCAGUGAGCCGAGAUCGUGCCACUGCACUCUAGCCUGGAUGACAGAGCGAGACUCUGUCUCAAAAAACAAAAAACAAAAAACAACAAAAAAAAAGAAUUGACAUGAUCAGAAAACAGGUAAUGAGAUAAGGAAAGAGAGGAGUACUGAGCUGUAGGCAGCCAAGGCCUGCAAACCAAGAGGGGAAGUUUCUGAGAUGGGGAAGAGACCCACAGUCACGGCCACUGGGAAUCCUGCUGAUCGGCAUUUGUGGGAAAUUUCGGGCAGUGGGUGCUCGUGCACAGACGUGGAUAAAGACAGAGAGAGGGCCAGGUGGGUGGUGCAUGCCUGUGAUCCCAGCACUUUGGGAGGCCGAGGCAGGUGGAUUGCUUGAGCUCAGGAGUUCGAGACCAUCCUGGUAACAUGGCAAAACCCUGUCUCUAUAAAAAUUACAAAAAUUAGCUGCAUGUGGUGGUGCAUGCCUGUAGUUCAUGCUACUUGGGAGGCUGAAGUGGGAGAAUUGUUCAAGCCCGGGAGGUGGAGGUUGCAGUGACCUGAGAUUGUGCCAUUGCACUCCAGCCUAGGUAAGAGUGAGACCCUGUCUCAAAUAGUAAUAAUAAUGAUAAAUAAAGACAAAGAGAGGCAGAGCAGGACAUAAUGAAAACCAUCUUUUGCAGAGUUCCUGUCUAUGCCAGGAGCUUUACAAGACUGUCUCUAAUCCUGACCCUUGCCCUGUGGAAGACAUACCCUAAUUCCCAAUUCCUGAUCAAGGAAACUAGCAGUGGUACUCACUGAAAUGAAGAUGGUAUAUGGAAAGGCGAUUCUUAUACUCAGAAGGAAAAGUUCCCAUGGAAGCCAUGGAUUCAUUCAUGACAAAGUUAGUUAAGAUUUCCUCUGGGACAAAGCACAUUAUUUAUGUUCUCCCUGACCUGAAAGAGCACAUGGAUUUGGUUUAUUCUUUCUUCUCCCACUGGCCUCCAAGAAUUCUUUAGAGGGCCUUGGCAUUUUCCAUUCCUCCAUUGGAUAUGAGUGCUGCGUUUUAAUGGUGGAGAGAACUCCAGGAGAGGAACCAUUGUUAUGAAAUCAAACCGAGACAGACAUCUGUUUGGAAGACUCAGGCUCAUCUCUCAUUUCCCCAAAGCACUUCAUCAAGGUUAAAUAAGAAAACAUUUGGCUUCUACUUUUAUGUCUUGAACUCCUAAAACUAUGUAAUCAUGUUUUUUUGAUAACUCGGGGCCAAGUAUGGAUCAGGUGUGUCUGUGUUACCUGGCCUGGCUGACGGGAAUGAUCAAGUUCAACACUUAAUUGUCAAGUUUCCCUUUGCCUUUGUGCUGUUUAGAUAGAAUUUCAGAGCUUGUAAAGGCCUAGCCAUAAAUAAAACAAGAUUGCAUGUGGGG
ensembl:lincRNA